UUGCUCGGGCCGUCUGGGUGCUGAAGAGGUUUUAGGAAACGGGUGAGAGCGAGCAGGCGGAUGGAGGAAUGCAGCCGGGAGCUGAGAGUCGAGAGAGAGCCGAGGCUUCAUAAACACCAGGUGUUGGCCUCAAAGCCCGAAUAAGAGGAAUGGAAUCGCGUUUGCAGGUCCGGGCCUUUUAUCCGGGAGCGUCCCCAGAGAGUUAGAAGAUUUGAAGACUGCCAGAUUUUUCUCUGCCUCCGGUGUUUCUGAUGUCUUUCCAACUGCAGGUUCCAGCGGGAGAUUUUAAAAUAAUUUCAGAGGGUAUUAAAAGGGGAGGAUUUGCUGUCAGGAAGCUCAAACAUCAUGCCAGGAUCUGUUGCAGUUGCCCAAUUUAUUGUAUCCUGAAUAUCAUCAGAUUUUUAACAUGGAGGCAAAAAGCACCGUUCACAGUGCGGAGAAACCGUACACAUGUUCAGUGUGUGGACGAGGCUUCAGCCAAUCAUCUGACCUGGCGAGACACAAGUGCAGUCACACUGGGGAGAAACAGUGGAAACGUGGGGACUGUAAUGAGGGAUUCAGAUUCCCAUCUGAGCUGGAAGCUCAUUGACGCAGUCACACUGGGGAGAAGCCAUUCGCCUGCUCCGUGUGUGACAAAGGAUUCAUUCGGUCAUCCCACCUGCUAAAACAUCAGUGAGUUCACACUGAGGAGAGACCUUUUAAAUGUCCAGAUUGUGGGACAUGCUAUAAAAGUUCUGAUGAGCUUAUGUCCCAUCAAUGUGUUCACACUGAUGAGAGACCUUUUAAAUGCCCAGAUUGCGGGAAGUGCUUUAAAAGUUCCAGUGAACUGAUGUCCCAUCAACGUGUUCACACUGACGAGAGACCGUUCAGGUGCUCUCACUGUGAGACUGGGUUUAGACAAUCAUCUCAACUCACUGUACACCAGCGGAUUCACACUGGGGAGAGGCUAUUUACCUGCAUUGAGUGUAGGAAGGGAUUCACUCGGUUAACUGACCUCCUGACACACCAGCGCGUUCACACUGGGGAGAGACCAUUCACCUGCCCUGUGUGUGAGAAGAGUUUUACUACCUUAUCCAACCUGCUGAUACAUCAACGCUCUCACACUGGGGAGAGGCCAUUCAUCUGUACUGAGUGUGGGAAAGGAUUCAUUCAGUCAUCCACCUUGCUGAUACACCAGCGAGUUCAUACUGGGGAGAGGCCAUUCACCUGCUCCGAGUGUGGGAAGGGAGUCACCACCUUAUCCAACCUGCUGACACACCAGUGAGUUCACACUGGGGAGAGGCCAUUCAUCUGCUUUGUGCGUGAGAAGAGAUUUGCUUACUCAUCCUCCCUGCUGAGACACAAGCGGGUUCACACUGGGGAGAGGCCAUUCAUAUGCUCUAUGUUUAAUAAGAGAUUUGCUCACUCAUCCCACCUGCUGAGACACCAGUGGGUUCAUGAAUAACUAUGGUGAUGGAAUUUGCUGUUAAUCACAUCUAGGACUGAAUCAUGUCAUUGGAGUCUGUUUCUGCUGAUGUUAAUAAACUCCAGCCCACAUUUAGUGGUUAACAUUGUGGAUAAAAGUCAAAUAAAUCAGCUUUGUGUUAAAUACAGUGUGUUAAGCCUUUUCAAUAUCCCAAACACAAGUUAUUCCUUUUGAAGUGCUCUCCCUCUUUCCUACAUCCUCACCUCCAAAACCAAGUGUGAUUUGCUCAUGGAGCUUCUUUGUCACUGAUAUUGAGACAAUCUGAUCAGCUGCCUCUGCUGCUUCCCUCCCUUCCACUAGCCCACCGGGAUUUCCUGUUUGUCGGCUUCUUUCUCCAUCCAGCUUCCAUACACACCAGCAAGCUCAUACUGGAAAGAGAGGUUUUAAAUGCUUAAACUCAGGUUCACUGAUGAUGCGCCAGUGUGUUCACUCCGGUUCCACUCCAUUUGUCUGAUCUCAGUGUGGGAAGAGGUUCAGGUGUCCAUCCUGCAGCAACACCAGGGAGAGGUCAUUCACCUGCUCCAUAUGUGGAAAGGGAUUCACUCAUUUCAUUCAACCUGUUGACACACGAUUGAGUUCAUACUGACAGAAGACCUUUUAAAUAUCUGGAUUGUAGGAAGUGUUAUAAAUGUUCUGUGGAACUGAUGUGCCAUCAGCACGUUCACACUGACGAGAUCGUUCAGAUGCUCUCACUGUAAGACUGGGUUCAGGUGAACUGAGUGUCCACCAGUGCAUUCACGCCGGGGCAAGACUGUUCCCUAUUCCAUGUGUGGGAAGAGAUUCACUCAGCCAUCCCACCUCACUGCACAUCACCUUGUCCACACUGAUAAGAAACCCUUUCAAUGUUCUGUGAACAGAUGUUUAAAAGCAAAUUGGAUCUUCUGACACACAAACACAUUCACAUUGGUGAGAAGCUGUUCAUCUGCUCUGAGUUUGGGAAGAGAUUCACUCAUCAUCUCACCUACUGACACACCAGUGAAUUUACAAGUCACUGGAGGAGUUGGAUUCUGCUGUUCUUGCAGCUGUUAAUCACAUCGAGGAAUAAACUAUGUUCAUUCUGACAGUUCGAGUUUGCUUCUGAUGCUUUUAAU